ensembl:lncRNA
GUACUAGACUGGUUCUCUCUCCUCCUCCUCUCUAAUGUAGCUAUACUAGACUGGUUCUCUCUCCUCCUCUCUAAUAUAGCUGUACAUGACUGGUUCUCCAUCCUCCUCUCUAAUGUAUUUAUACUAUACUGGUUUUCCCUUCUCCUAUUCUCAAUAAUGUAUCUAUACUAGACUGGUUGUCCCUCCUCCUCUCUAAUGUAUCUAUCAUAGACUGGUUCUCCCUCCUCCUCCUCUCUAAUGUAUCUAUACUAUACUUGUUCUCCCUUCUCCUCCUCUCUAAUGUAUCUAUACUAGACUGGUUGUCCCUCCUCCUCUAUUAUGUAGCUAAACUAGACUGGUUCUCCCUCCUCCUCCUCUCUAAUGUAUCUAUAAUAGACUGGUUCUCCCUCCUCCUCCUCUCUAAUGUAGCUAUACUAGACUGGUUCUCCCUCCUCCUCUCUAAUGUAGCUAUACUAGACUGGUUCUCUCUCCUCCUCUCUAAUAUAACUUUACAUGACUGGUUCUCCGUCCUCCUCUCUAAUGUAUCUAAUCUAUACUGGUUUUCCCUUCUCCUAUUCUAUAUAAUGUAUCUAUACUAGGCUGGUUCUCCCUCCUCCUCCUCUCUAAUGUGUCUAUACUAGACUGGUUUUCCCUCCUCCUCUCUAAUGUAUCUAUACUAGACUGGUUUUCCCUCCUCCUCCUCUAUUAUGUAGCUGUACUAGACUGGUUCUCCCUCCUCCUCCUCUCUAAUGUAGCUGUACUAGACUGGUUCUCCCUACUCCUCCUCUCUAAUGUAGCUAUACUAGACUGGUUCUCCCUCCUCCUCCUCUCUAAUGUAGCUAUACUAUACUGGUUCUCCGUCCUCCUCCUCUCUAAUGUAGCUAUACUAGACUGGUUCUCCAUCCUCCUCUCUAAUGGAGCUAUACUAGACUGCUUCUCUCUCCUCCUCUCUAAUAUAGCUGUACAUGACUGGUUCUCCAUCCUCCUCUCUAAUGUAUCUAUACUAUACUGGUUGUCCCUCCUCCUCCUCUCUAAUGUAUCUAUCAUAGACUGGUUCUCCCUCCUCCUCCUCUUUAAUGUAGCUGUACUAGACUGGUUCUCCCUCCUCCUCCUCCUCCUCUCUAAUGUAGCUAUACUAGACUGGUUCUCCCUCCUCCUCUCUAAUGUAUCUAUACUAGACUGCUUCUCCCUCCUCCUCUCUAAUGUAGCUAUUCUAGACUGGUUCUCCCUCCUCCUCCUCUCUAAUGUAUCUAUUCUAGACUGGUUUUCCCUCCUCCUCCUCUUUAAUGUAGCUGUACUAGACUGUUUCUACCUCCUCCUCCUCUCUAAUGUAGCUGUACUAGACUGGUUCUCCCUCCUCCUCUCUAAUGUAGCUGUACUAGACUGGAUCUCCCUCCUCCUCCUCUUUAAUGUACCUUUACUAGACUGGUUAUCACUCCUCCUCUCUAAUGUAUCUAUACUAGACUGGUUCUUCCUCCUCCUCUCUAAUGUAGCUGUACUAGACUGGUUCUCCCUCCUCCGCC